CUACAGAGUGAAAGUCAAUGAGGCCUGGUGUGUAUAAUGGCUGCCUCCUAGGUAGUUUCUGCAGCAGGCUGCUUGUACAGGCUGCUCUCAGAGACCUUGGAGACAGUC
rnacentral:snoRNA from 1 species